GCCCAGAGCAUUACAGAUGGACACACACACAGCCAGAAGUGCCACAGCUUUUAUUAUAUUAGAAUACUCAUCUCCAAGAAAGAGGAGACAAAUCAUUUAUGCUAUAUAUUUCCUAUGUGCAGUAGUGUAUGUCUUUUCCUAAUAUAAAUGGAGGCUGAAAUAAUAAUGGGCACUUCUACUAAUCUCAUGGGAACUACAGCAUUGUUUUACUGUUUCAGUCUUUGAGAAUUUCUCCCUCUUCAAUCCCAUCUCUUUCUCUUUUGUUAUCCUGUGACUUCACCAAGCUUGUACCUGAUUUUUGCUCCUCUGGAAGGAAAUAGCUAUUUAUAAAGUGACAACAGGGUGGAAAAUAUUGCACUGAGGUUAAACUAAUCCCAGUUUAACCUCUUGAUCUUGCCAGUAUGAUUUAUUGUCACGGGCUGCUGUGUUGUUUGAUUCUAUAUAUACACACACACAUUUGUUACUUUUCUGAUGAACAAUAAAAUAGAAUGUGUAUUGCACUUCAGCUGCCUUCUACGGUAUUCCCUUAGCCCUGUCUGUUCAGUGGUGCUACCUAGGCUUUCAUCUCAGCUGUCAAAUCAGCUUAGAACAUUUAUCUUCUUUUGGUAAUUCCACAGACACAGUAAGUUACUUUGAACUGGACCCUGCCAGCAAUAUCUAAGAGGGAGAAACACAUGUGAGAAGGACAGGAUGGUUGGCAGCAGUUUACUGGCAGAGGAAAGUAUGGAGCAGUGCUGAACACUUGUUCUUCAUUCUUCCUUAUUUUCCUAGACUGAUCAUCACCAUCAAUUAUUCUGAUGCCAAAAAUCUGGAGAAAAAAUGGAUAUUUAUCGUCUGACUGAAAUUGCUUCAGUGGUCACUUCUUAUGGAAAAUGCUUUUGGAGAUCUUCCUAUCACCUGUCUGUCACACACCUUCCACUGAAAGCUUGUAUCCCCCAUUUGCACUGGUUCAUGGCCUUGGGAAUGGUUGCUGAUACAUGUUGGAGCUUGGGCCCCCUCUUGGCCAAUGCUCUAUUCAUUGGCAGUGACAGGAUGGAUCCUUGUGUGUGUCACUCAGGUAUUCGGGUCCUAUUCAAUCUCACCUGCCAUGACUUGGGCUUAUCUUCUUUGGGAGGCAGUUCCCCAUAGGUGACUCUCUGGACUUCACACCCUGGCUUCUUCAUGGUGCUCCAACCUCUCCUAUACCACGCCCUUACGACAUCCAGGGCCUGAACUGAUGUCAGCGUCUUGAUGUUUAAGGCCACAGACAAUAAUUCUCUCAUCCUUCAUCAACAGUCUUUGAUGAGGACCCAUCUAUAGUGAUCCAUGCAUUUGUUGUCUUCAAGCUGGAGUACUUCAAUUCACUGUAGCUGAAGGUGAAUGUGAUGAUGUAGCACAGACUCCGACUAAAACAGAACAUAGCUGACU